UCCCAAUCCCUGCCGGAAUCCGGAAUCCGGCCGCCCGGUUCGCAAUUUCGGCGUCUGGAGGAGCGGCCGGCAGCGAAGAGGGAUGGGGGGAGAGGAGGAGGAGGAGGGGAAGGGGCCUCCGGGCCGGAGCUGUCGACGGACAACGUCAAGGGGAUAGUCCUGGCGCUGCUCUCCAGCGGCUUCAUCGGCGCCAGCUUUAUCAUCAAGAAGAAGGGCCUCCGCCGGGCCGCCGUCUCCUCCGGUGUCCGCGCAGGUGUAGGCGGGUCCUCGUACCUCAUGGAGCCCCUGUGGUGGGUUGGCAUGAUCACUAUGAUUGUGGGAGAGGUUGCCAAUUUCGUGGCAUAUGCCUUCGCCCCUGCUGUGUUGGUUACUCCACUUGGAGCACUCAGAAUAAUUGUUAGUGCAGUGCUGGCUCAUUUCAUCCUUAAUGAGAGGUUGCAUGCCCUCGGGGUGCUCGGCUGCGUGAUGUGCAUAGCAGGGUCUGUGGUCAUUGUUAUCCAUGCUCCGCAGGAGCAGGAGAUUACAUCUGUUAGGGAAAUAUGGAACAUGGCAACACAACCUGCUUUCUUGUUAUAUGUUGCUUCAGUUAUUGUGAUUGUUUUUGUCCUGGUGUUCUAUUUCUCCCCUCUAUAUGGGCAGUCCAAUGUGUUGAUCUACACCGCCAUUUGCUCUUUGAUGGGUUCUCUUUCGGUCAUGAGUGUUAAAGCUCUUGGUACAUCAUUAAAGCUGACUUUCGAGGGGACCAACCAAUUAAUAUAUCCUGAGACUUGGUUCUUUAUGCUUGUUGUGGCUACUUGUGUGCUGACACAGAUGAAUUAUUUGAAUAAGACAUACUACAUCAAUUUUGGAGGAAUCCACGAUGCAUCGCACCGCAUCUCUACGCACGGGUGAAUUGAGGCCCCGCACGUUCCAAAUAAGAAUAUGUGAUGGAUCCAUAGAGCUUACUGCAAAGAACUACCACCAGAGAGUUCAGGCCAAUAAUCCAGGCGACUCGACUCCAGAAUCCUCUUCCGGAGGAGUCAGCCCAAACAAGGCAGCCAAGGCUUUAACAUGAGAUCCACUUGAUUGUGAGAACCGCUUAGCAUACUCAUCAAGAACAUCCUGAGAUAGUUGCUCCUUGUCCUGUGUAGUAUCCCCCAACAUUUAAAUCCAGAGCACACAUGACUCUUUUCUUGAGGUGAAUGGGACAGAUUUCUGGGGCUUGAGGAGCCAGCCCAGCCACACGUCGGCUGUGCCGCGGUGCCUCGCUCGGAGGCGGUCUGAGAUUCUUCCUCUUGUUAAUGUGAGGGAUCGGCAGCAGCCCCCCUGGAGUCUUGGAAAGCUUUGAAAUAAAAGCAGCGGCUGGAGAAAGAGGCAUUGGACUAGGAGGUUGCGGGGAUUGAGGGUCCGCUGGUGCAUCAGCCAAUAUCAAAUUUCUCUUGAACCGGCGCCGGAAAUAUACCCGAGUUGAGAGAGGAGACCUGAUUGCCGAGCGAGGUUCCUCCUACGGACUAGGGACCGGCAUAGCUGUCACGGGUGCUGCCACCGGCGCAGAUGGAACUGGUGAGGAGGGGGGAACAGAGUCGGCUUGGGUAAGAACUCCAGUGCCCUCAACAGUAGGAACAGGCGGAGGGGAUCCCGCCGGCGAGCCAGACCGAAUCGGCGAGAGGGACGGCGAUGACGCCUCGACGGGAUCUAUCUGCACUGGGGACACAAUCUCUGGACCAGGUGUAAUGGGCCUCAUGGCCUCCACCCCAUCCUCAAAUGAAACUCGGAAGGCCUCCGGGCUGUUAGCAAGCACAUCAUCAGGGCCCAAUACAGACCGGCCCAAAACAAGCUGCUGGGCCCCUGAAGCCAGAGGAUCACCACAACCCAAUGACAAGUUUGCCAAACAUGCAGCAACCUUCGUCUCGGGCUCCUCCGGCGCAGCAAUCACCCGUAGCGAUGCAUCUUGAGAACAGGGGAAAACCGAGGCAUUUAGAUCAGCCGCCUGGACCUCCGGAAUUUCUGGGUGCGCUCCCCCCCUCGUCCCCGCACGGGCGGAACUCAGCGGCCGCCAAAACCUCAGAGAUCCCCGCGAAAGAUAAAUGCCCGCCUGGGGAAGGGGCAGCCGUGGCCGAGGGUGUGCCUGGGGAAGGAGCCGGUUUGGUCGCCGCCAUUAUUGGCGAGGCGCCCGGAGCGACAGCAUCCAUGCCACGCCCAUCGUGUCCUGAGGAGUCCGCAAGCUCCAGGGAACGAGGUGCCGCGCCUCGAGAAGGGGAAUCUUUCGCCGGACUUCGCCGGGAGGAACUUGAGGACGAUGAAUCACGCCGGCGGCGGCGACGUCCAACCCCCCCCCCCCCCCCCGCAGGCCGGAGGCGGAGCGGGACGAGCCUCCUCAGGCAACCGCCCAUCUCCAGGCACCACCGUGACGCUGACCGCAUAAGAAAGAGCCCGCUUCACGGGAGGAACUUCAACGACAGGAGCCGGAGGUUCCACCACGACGAGAUCCAUGGCUGCCGAAAUCCUUUCCGGGCUCGAACACCAGGCAGACAGCCGAAACGAAGAAUAGUCCCGGCGUUGCACAGUAUCGGGAUGCAACGCAUGAACCCAGCACCAUUCAUCCAAAAUAUGUUCAGCUGUUUCCAGUUCCCAGACAUGUGCCGGAACGCCCCUGACCUCAACGUGGACCAUCUGAGGCAAGGUCACCCCUGCAGCAUUCUUGAAACGGGACCAACGUCGACAAUGUAGAGAUAGUUGAUCAAGCAGAAUUGGUCGCCCAUCAUUGUAGAUGCGAACUGCCUCCCUCUUCCGACGGCAGCAGCAGCAGGAGAUCAUUAGGCCCCAGGCGAUGAAACUCCAAAGAACUGAUCGGGAGAUCGUAGCGCCGAGCAAACUCAGCAGCCAGACCAUCAACCGAUACAGCAGUGGGAUCACCGACAACCAAGACAGAGAGGGCGCAGCGGAGUUCAUCCUCGGCACGAGCAAUCAUCUCCGACCGGUCAAUAAUUCUCCGAGGCCGAACAGUCGGGGCGGUGUCGACCGUCUCCGCCGCAUUGUCCACCGGAGGCAUCACCGGAGGAGGAUCAGCUGCCGCUGGGAGGGGCACCUCGCCACCGUUGCGACGUCGCCUGGUUCGCCGCCUCUUUCUACGACGACCCCCGCCCUCUCCAGCAUUGUGCACCACGUCCGACGGAGGUCCGCCGGCAUCCGCAUCACCGGCAGAAGGAGGAAUCAAGGCAGCAGUGCCGCCAAUCCCAUCACUCCCACCGGCGGCGGAAGAGCCGGCAUCCUUGCGACGCCAGACCACAGCACCCAGCCAGUCCUGAAGACGGGAAUCCGCCAUACGUCGAGCAGCCGUCUCCGAGCUACGGCACCAGACAGCUCGGUGGCCCAGUUGGCGGCACCGGAAGCAGUGCGGCUGGAGAUUGCAGGUUGCAGCGCGAUGCUCCGGUGAGAAGCAAUUGAAGCACAGCCCGCGCAGGUCCACGGGCACCCGACGACGAAACGGACGCCGCUCCUCACGCAGGCGAUUCUUACGAGAGCGGCAGCUCUCCACCUCCUGCCAGCCCUCGGAAUCGGGGCCACGUCGUGGUGACGGCGGAUGGGAGUCCUCCAGGCGGAGCAGGAUCUUGGUGGCGGCCGGAGACACCACCGGCCUCGCCGGAGCAGCCGGAAAAGCCUUCAGAAGCGCCUCCUUGAAGGUGAAGUCCGGCAGGCCGCCGCCUGACUUACCAGAUGGUGGUGUGUCCUGGCUCCAGCGCUGGGCCUUGCCGCGCCCAGCCGCCGACUCAGGGAGGGACCUCGACGCCGGUUGAGAAGAGGGAGAGGUGGCCGCCGGGCUCGGGGUGAGGGCCGGCGUGGGGCUGGUGGAGGUAGGCGAGGCGUCGAGGUGAGGGAGAGGGGGGGAGGGGAGACGAGGGGGUCGCCAUCUCGUGAGACACCCUAUUAUAGCUGAUGAGACCCCUCACUUUACUGUACUAAAUUAUGCCUUUUCACUUUAGGCAUUUGACACAUUCAACACAGCAAUUGUAUCUCCAAUAUAUUACGUGAUGUUCACAACUCUUACAAUACUUGCAAGCAUCAUAAUGUUCAAGGAUUGGUCUGGUCAAAGCCCUGGAAGCAUCAUUUCUGAAAUUUGUGGUCUGAUUGUGGUGUUA